AUGCCUCCUGAGAUGGAGUGUGCUUGACCUUGUCUGGGCUCAGGCACUCGCUCAGAGGGAAACAUGUUGCAUUUAGGUAACUGCAGGUGAGGUCUGUGUUAGGACCAGAAAACCUGUUUACAAGAGAGACCAUUUUUCUGAGGCCAGAUAUUUUUAUGUGCUUAUCUUUGAAUAAGGUGAGGAGCCCAUUGUUUUUUCUCUUCCGUGGUUUAGCUGACCUCUGUGGUGAAGCCCCGAGAACUUUAUGGAUUUUAGCAAUGAUAACGUUUUGUGUUUCUUAUGUCAGGAUUUCAAAGGAUUUUAUUAAGAACAUGAGUGCCCUCACUGGGUGAAAAUGAAGAGCGGAUACAUUGUUGAAAGGGCUGAAGACCAUCAUGAUUGGGCAUUUUCCUUCACGAACACACAUGUCACCAGCAAAGCCCCUUGGCAGGCAUUGGACAUUCCGGGACAAGCAUCUCCUCUCUCUACACGAAGUCUCUUAAAGAUGACAUGACAUCAGAUUUUCUCCCUUAUGUUAGAACUUUGAAGGGUGGAGGUGUGAAAUCUGGCUUCCCCUGAGGCUCUCAUGUGAGUCUGAGUGUUGGUUUCACAAGCCAUCUAUGAAAAGGGUGUAUGAACAGACUGUACAGAUGCUGCGUCUAGCUUCAUUGUGCCAAAGAAAUUGAGGGUACUUCUGCCACCAGGUUUUCUAUUUUAAGACAGCUUAUAUGUUUUUGCUGCUUUAAUUUUUUUACAAGAUAUUUUGUUGUUGUUGAUAAAUGACCUAUACCUGUGGUGAGUGAGAUAGAAAAUGGUUCACAUAUUCCUUUCUAGCCAGACAUCUCAGAUUUGUGAAAGAAGUAAAGCCCUCAAAUGAAGUCCUAUUUUCACAUGGUAAAACGUGAUUUGAAUAUUGAAAAUAAAUGGGAUUAAUAUCUUA